CAGGGCUGAUGACGCCGAUUACUACCUCCAGGUUUGGAGUUUUGAGCUUUAGCAGUUUUCUGGUGUGUUGGCGGCUUCUUCGUGACGAUUGGUGAUAGUUAUUUGAUUGUGUCUAUCACUGAAAGAGAAUCAGCAUCCUGGUGAUCCUUCCAUUAGGAAAAUGACUACGCGGUCAAUAACACCAAAAAAAUGUCAACAAAUUGUCAUCACAUAUAAUAUGCAAGUUAAGUUUACAUAGAAUCUUGAUAAUAAUCAUGUUGAGUGCAGCAGUUUCAAUUAUUUUGUGUUUAUUUCUUAUUUAGAUUUUGAAUUAAACUGAAUAAGAACCAUCUGGUUAUUCUUCCAAGGAAAAGGCAAACACCACCAUCACAGUCAACAAGUUUGUUAACCCAAUGACUGCCACUGGGUAGCAGUUACCCUUGAAUAGCUCUAGUUCCUUGGAAUGGGUCCACACUUAUUUUGAGUUUAACCUGCGCCGCUAAUCCAUUGACUGAAUCCAUUGGGGGUAUUAACUGACGAGAGAUAAAAGACAACUGACUAACUAACGUGAUGUCAUUCACCAAUACUGUGCGUGCCAUCCUUCCGUCGCCCCAAGGCAUGGGGGAAUUGUACCUGUUCCAGCUACGCUGCCAGCAUAAUUUCACUACCCAACUGACGGCCUGGUGGGUCAACUUACCAAUCACUGACUCCUACUACCCCUGCUCUCAAGUCUCAACGGACCAAAGGACGACCAUGUUGUUCUCGCAGGUUCUAAACUACAGGAACUUUCUAAAUUUGCAUGGCAGACUUUAUGAGA
rnacentral:lncRNA from 1 species